rnacentral:rRNA from 1 species
UAACACGUGGGUAACCUGCCCAUAAGACUGGGAUAACUCCGGGAAACCGGGGCUAAUACCGGAUAACAUUUUGAACCGCAUGGUUCGAAAUUGAAAGGUGGCUUCGGCUGCCACUUAUGGAUGGACCCGCGUCGCAUUAGCUAGUUGGUGAGGUAACGGCUCACCAAGGCAAUGAUGCGUAGCCGACCUGAGAGGGUGAUCGGCCACACUGGGACUGAGACACGGCCCAGACUCCUACGGGAGGCAGCAGUAGGGAAUCUUCCGCAAUGGA